GGGGAAUAUUGCACAAUGGGCGCAAGCCUGAUGCAGCCAUGCCGCGUGUGUGAAGAAGGCCUUCGGGUUGUAAAGCACUUUCAGCGAGGAGGAAGGGUAGUGUGUUAAUAGCACAUUGCAUUGACGUUACUCGCAGAAGAAGCACCGGCUAACUCCGUGCCAGCAGCCGCGGUAAUACGGAGGGUGCAAGCGUUAAUCGGAAUUACUGGGCGUAAAGCGCACGCAGGCGGUUUGUUAAGUCAGAUGUGAAAUCCCCGCGCUUAACGUGGGAACUGCAUUUGAAACUGGCAAGCUAGAGUCUUGUAGAGGGGGGUAGAAUUCCAGGUGUAGCGGUGAAAUGCGUAGAGAUCUGGAGGAAUACCGGUGGCGAAGGCGGCCCCCCUGGACAAA
rnacentral:rRNA from 1 species